AGCAGUAGCCGCGGUAAUACGGAGGGGGCUAGCGUUGUUCGGAAUUACUGGGCGUAAAGCGCACGUAGGCGGCUUGGUAAGUUAGAGGUGAAAGCCCGGAGCCCAACUCCGGAAUUGCCUUUAAGACUGCCGAGCUAGUAGGUGAGAGAGGUAAGUGGAAUUCCGAGUGUAGAGGUGAAAUUCGUAGAUAUUCGGAAGAACACCAGUGGCGAAGGCGGCUUACUGGCUCAUUCUAGACGCUGAGGUGCGAAAGCGUGGGGAGCAAACAGGAUUAGAGACCCCAGUAGUCCCUGUCUCUUAUAC
rnacentral:rRNA from 1 species